rnacentral:rRNA from 1 species
UCCUACGGGAGGCAGCAGUGAGGAAUAUUGGACAAUGGGCGCAAGCCUGAUCCAGCCAUGCCGCGUGCAGGAUGACGGUCCUAUGGAUUGUAAACUGCUUUUGCACAGGAAGAAACAACGCUACGUGUAGCGUCUUGACGGUACUGUAAGAAUAAGGAUCGGCUAACUCCGUGCCAGCAG